ACGGAGGGUGCGAGCGUUGUCCGGAAUCACUGGGCGUAAAGGGCGCGUAGGCGGUCUGCUAAGCGUGCGGUGAAAGCCUGGGGCUCGACCCCAGGUCUGCCGUGCGAACUGGUGGACUUGAGCACUGUAGAGGCAGGUGGAAUUUCGGGUGUAGCGGUGGAAUGCGUAGAGAUCCGAAAGAACACCGGUGGCGAAGGCGGCCUGCUGGGCAGUAGCUGACGCUGAGGCGCGACAGCGUGGGGAGCAAACAGGA
rnacentral:rRNA from 1 species